UGACGACGCGCGUGCCGCGUCCGCACCCUUUCCUGGCGGCAGAGCCCAGGGUCGCUGUUCGACGGAGGAAUCUUCAUCCGUGUCGUUGGGCACAUGCUGCCGCCAUGCAUCCAGAAGGGCAAGAAAAACGGAGGGGGAUCUGAGCGGAGCGGAGGUCCGAUGCAGAACCACAGUUCCGUGCUGAAAAGGACAAGACGAAUCGAAUGAGAGGAUGAGAGGUAAUAUCGUGGCUGAUAUUUUCUUUAAGAAUGUUGUGGCUGAUUAUUAUUAUAUUUUGAUAGGGGCGGCAGUUUUUUUCAACGUGAGAUGGAAGAUAUAUAGUAUGGUUGUCUGAAAAGUUAUGGGUACGUACGGUUUAUAAGACAAGUGAACAGAGUUAAUAAUGACGUGAAGGUGAUUUUCUAUUGCACAACUGAUACUCUAUGUCUGUUGUCUAUUCAUGUGUGCUCUUUUUUUUUUACAAAAUUAAACUAUAACUGUGGUUUUUUUCAGACGAAGACGGGACCUAAGAAACUACAUUUGUGUUUUUACGGGUUACACAUGAGUAGUUAUAGAUGCUUUCAUAUUUUGUCAUAUUACCAGAUACAUGUAUUUUCUGUAUCAAGGUAUGCAUUUGAUUGAUAGGUGUUUUAAAUGUAGCGUUUUGUUAGGCUUUACUCAAGAUGGAUUGUUACUUUCCUUUAAAAUAUUUCGAGCUGUAAUCAUGAAAAAUG
rnacentral:lncRNA from 1 species